rnacentral:rRNA from 1 species
GACGAACGCUGGCGGCGUGCUUAACACAUGCAAGUCGAACGAUGAAGCAAAGAAUCGAAGCUUCGGCAGAAAUUCAUUUCGGAUUAGUGGCAGACGGGUGAGUAACGCGUGAGCAACCUACCUCUUACAAAGGGAUAGCCUCGGGAAACCGGGAUUAAUACCAUAUAACAUUGUGACGAAGCAUUUCGAUGCAAUCAAAGCUACGGCGGUAAGAGAUGGGCUCGCGUCCCAUUAACCGGAUGGUGAGGUAACGGCUCACCAUAGUGACGAUGGGUAACCGGACUGAGAGGGUGAACGGUCACACUGGAACUGAGACACGGUCCAGACUCCUACGGGAGGCAGCAGUGGGGAAUAUUGCACAAUGGAGGGAACUCUGAUGCAGCGACGCCGCGUGAGUGAUGAAGGAAUUCGUUUCGUAAAACUCUGUUCUAUGGGAAGAAAAGGACUGUACCAUAGGAGAAAGCUCCGGCUAAAUACGUG